rnacentral:lncRNA from 1 species
UACUAUAUUGAAUUUACUUCUUUUUAGUUUAUUACUACAUAUGCAUAUAAAUAUAUAAAUAAGCAAUCCAAAACAUUUUUCUUCUCUGAAACCUUUCAUAAAAUGUCUCUUGGUAAGUACUCUACUGCACAUCUUUCUCAAAUAAAUGGAAAUCUAUAUAGAUUUUUUUCUCUUCAAUUUGUCUUCAUAAAAUAUUCAUAGAGAAUACAUAGAUAUCAUAUUAUAGUCAUGGUUUCUUUAAAAAAUAUAUAUUAUAGUCAUUGUUCUAUUUGCUUUGAUUUUCUAUCUUUAGGCGGUAUCUUUUUUAUUUAUUUUUUUGUCUUAGUGUCGUGUUUGAUUUAGGUUGAAAGAUUAAUUUUGAUCAAGUGUAAAUUCAAACAAUGAUUUUGACGUUGUCAAUAUUACAGAUCUGAAGACAUGAAUAUUCUAGAGACUUAAAUAUAAUCAUAUUUAAGGCAUAUGUAUUAUAUUGUUUUAUGCUAUUAACAUACAUUUUGUUAUUAUUUGCACAUUUAUCCCUUUUAUUUUUGGCGACU